rnacentral:rRNA from 1 species
ACGAACGCGUAGCGAUAGGCCUAACACAUGCAAGUCGAACGGGGGAAGCAAUUCCUCAGUGGCGGACGGGUGAGUAAUGUAUAAGAAUCUACCUAAAAGAGGGGGAUAAGAGAGGGAAACUUUUUCUAAUACCCUAUACGUUUGUUAUAAUUAAGUUUAUAACAAAGAAAGGAGCAAUCCGCUUUUAGAAGAGCUUAUAUCAGAUUAGGUAGUUGGCGGGGUAACAGCCCACCAAGCCUGUGAUCUGUAGCUGGUUUGAGAGAAUGAUCAGCCACACUGGGAUUGAGAUACGGCCCAGACUCCUAUUUUGGAGGCAGCAGUGAGGAAUAUUGGACAAUGGGGGAAACCCUGAUCCAGCCUAUCGAGUGAGUGAUGAAGGCCUUCGGGUUGUAAAGCUCUUUUAUCUGUGAAAAUAAUGAUGGUAACAGAUGAAUAAGCACCGGCUAACUUCGU